rnacentral:rRNA from 1 species
GAUGAACGCUGGCGGCGUGCCUAAUACAUGCAAGUCGAGCGAACAGACGAGGAGCUUGCUCCUCUGACGUUAGCGGCGGACGGGUGAGUAACACGUGGAUAACCUACCUAUAAGACUGGGAUAACUUCGGGAAACCGGAGCUAAUACCGGAUAAUAUAUUGAACCGCAUUGUUCAAUAGUGAAAGACGGUUUUGCUGUCACUUAUAGAUUGAUCCGCGCCUCAUUAGCUAGUUGGGAAGUUAACGGGUUACCAAGGCACCGAUGCGUAGCCGACCUGAGAGGGUGAUCGGCCACACUGGAACUGAGACACGGUCCAGACUCCUACGGGAGGCAGCAGUAGGGAAUCUUCCGCAAUGGGCGAAAGCCUGACGGAGCAACGCCGCGUGAGUGAUGAAGGUCUUCGGAUCGUAAAACUCUGUUAUUAGGGAAGAACAAAUGUGUAAGUAACUAUGCACGUCUUGACGGUACCUAAUCAGAAAGCCACGGCUAACUACGUG